CACGUAGGGGGCGAGCGUUGUCCGGAUUUAUUGGGCGUAAAGAGCGUGUAGGCGGCCAGACAGGUCCGUUGUGAAAACUCGAGGCUCAACCUCGAGAUGUCGAUGGAAACCGUCUGGCUAGAGUCCGGAAGAGGAGUGUGGAAUUCCUGGUGUAGCGGUGAAAUGCGCAGAUAUCAGGAAGAACACCUAUGGCGAAGGCAGCACUCUGGGACGGUACUGACGCUGAGACGCGAAAGCGUGGGGAGCGAACAGG
rnacentral:rRNA from 1 species